UACAGAGGGGGCAAGCGUUGUUCGGAAUUACUGGGCGUAAAGGGCGCGUAGGCGGCCUGUUAAGUCGAACGUGAAAUCCCUGGGCUCAACCCAGGAACUGCGUCCGAUACUGGCAGGCUUGAAUCCGGGAGAGGGAUGCGGAAUUCCAGGUGUAGCGGUGAAAUGCGUAGAUAUCUGGAGGAACACCGGUGGCGAAGGCGGUUCUCUGGGCAUGUCCUGACGCUGAGGAGCGAAAGUGUGGGGAGCGAACAGG
rnacentral:rRNA from 1 species